rnacentral:rRNA from 1 species
UACAGAGGUCCCAAGCGUUGUUCGGAUUCAUUGGGCGUAAAGGGUGCGUAGGCGGCGCGGUAAGUCGGGUGUGAAAUCUCGGAGCUUAACUCCGAAACUGCAUUCGAUACUGCCGUGCUUGAGGACUGGAGAGGAGACUGGAAUUUACGGUGUAGCGGUGAAAUGCGUAGAUAUUGGGAGGAACACCGGUGGCGAAGGCGGCCCCCUGGACCGGUACUGACGCUGAGGCGCGAAAGCGUGGGUAGCAAACGGG